GAUGAAGAACGUAGCGAAAUGCGAUACGUAAUGUGAAUUGCAGAAUUCAGUGAAUCAUCGAAUCUUUGAACGCACAUUGCGCCUGCCAGCACUCUGGCAGGCAUGCCUGUUCGAGCGUCAUUUCAACCAUCAAGCCCUAGGCUUGCGUUGGAGCCCUGCGGCUGCCGCAGGCCCCUAAAAGCAGUGGCGGGCUCGCUAUCACACCGAGUGCAGUAGAUUACUCUUCGCUCAGGGCGUGUGGUGGGUUCCAGCCGUGAAACCCCCUACUUCUCAAGGUUGACCUCGGAUCAGGUAGGAAUACCCGCUGAACUUAAGCAUAUCAAUAAGCGGAGGA
rnacentral:misc_RNA from 1 species